rnacentral:rRNA from 1 species
UACGAACUGUGCAAACGUUAUUCGGAUUCACUGGGCUUACAGGGUGCGUAGGCGGCCUGUUAAGUAGGGUGUGAAAGCCCCCGGCUCAACCGGGGAAUGGCGCCCUAAACUGGCGGGCUGGAGUGAGAUAAGGGUGUGUGGGACUUCCGGUGGAGCGGUGAAAUGUGUUGAUAUCGGAAGGAACGCCGGUGGCGAAAGCGACACACUGGGUCUCAACUGACGCUGAGGCACGAAAGCCGGGGGAGCGAACGGG